UAGGGAAUCUUCCACAAUGGACGCAAGUCUGAUGGAGCAACGCCGCGUGAGUGAAGAAGGUUUUCGGAUCGUAAAGCUCUGUUGUUGGUGAAGAAGGAUAGAGGCAGUAACUGGUCUUUAUUUGACGGUAAUCAACCAGAAAGUCACGGCUAACUACGUGCCAGCAGCCGCGGUAAUACGUAGGUGGCAAGCGUUGUCCGGAUUUAUUGGGCGUAAAGCGAGCGCAGGCGGAAUGAUAAGUCUGAUGUGAAAGCCCACGGCUCAACCGUGGAACUGCAUCGGAAACUGUCAUUCUUGAGUGCAGAAGAGGAGAGUGGAAUUCCAUGUGUAGCGGUGGAAUGCGUAGAUAUAUGGAAGAACACCCGUGGCGAAGGCGGCUCUCUGGUCUGCAACUGACGCUGAGGCUCGAAAGCAUGGGUAGCGAACAGG
rnacentral:rRNA from 1 species